CCUACGGGAGGCACCAGGGGGGAAUAUUGCACAAUGGGCGCAAGCCCUGAUGCAGCCAUGCCGCGUGUAUGAAGAAGGGCCUUCGGGUUGUAAAGUACUUUCAGCAGUGAGGAAGGGGGUGUCGUUAAUACGCGGCAUCUUUGACGUUAGCUGCAGAAGAAGCACCGGCUAACUCCGUGCCAGCAGCCGCGGUAAUACGGAGGGUGCGAGCGUUAAUCGGAAUUACUGGGCGUAAAGCGCAUGCAGGUGGUUUGUUAAGUCAGAUGUGAAAGCCCGGGGCUCAACCUCGGAAUUGCAUUUGAAACUGGCAGACUAGAGUACUGUAGAGGGGGGUAGAAUUUCAGGUGUAGCGGUGAAAUGCGUAGAGAUCUGAAGGAAUACCAGUGGCGAAGGCGGCCCCCUGGACAGAUACUGACACUCAGAUGCGAAAGCGUGGGGAGCAAACAGGAUUAGAUACCCUGGUAGUCCACGCCGUAAACGAUGUCUACUUGGAGGUUGUGGCCUUGAGCCGUGGCUUUCGGAGCUAACGCGUUAAGUAGACCGCCUGGGGAGUACGGUCGCAAGAUUAAACUCAA
rnacentral:rRNA from 1 species